rnacentral:tRNA from 1 species
GCGGAUGUAGCUCAUUUGGUAGAGCAUCAGCUUCCCAAGCUGAGGGUAGCCGGUUCGAAACCGGUCAUCCGCU